rnacentral:lncRNA from 1 species
UGUCUAUUUUUCCAACAAGAUUAGCACUUUUACCUCCAGCAACUACUACAGCAUUAAAUGAUGAACUUACAGUUUUCAAAAGUAUAUUCAUUAAUUAUGAACAUCUUGACUACACUAAGUUAUCAGAGAAAAGGGAAGUGAUUUAGCUCUUGAUCACAGAGACCCAGAGCAUCAGUAAAUCAAGUGAUGACAAAAGCAAAGAACUCCAUAAUGACUCAGCUAUUCUCAAUCAGGCUGUGUUAAAACCACUCAGGUUGAGCAUGGGGAAGCUCAGCCGGUACAAGUGGUAGUCAGUGUUCCCCUGACAGUAUAAUUUUUAUGGUGUUUGUUUUAUCAAACAUAAAUGUGCAACUUGACUGCCACAAACUUCCAGAAAGAAAAAAAACACAAAGAUAUCAUCGCAGAACAUAAAAUAAGGUCUAUAUUCAGCUUCUCUGGAGAAGAGCAGAAAAAUCUACUGCUGUGAAGCAUGUCUUCUUAUGAAAAGAGUUCAGAAGGAAAAAUGUCUGAGCUUCUCUGGAGAAGAGCAGAAAAUCUGCUGCCGUGAAGUAUGUCCUCUUAUGAAAAGAGUUCAUGUUAAAGUUUGUCAAUGAGAAAAACUCACUUGAGGCUUGGAAAGUGGAAUGAAGAGAUAGCACAUGAUUUCCUGGAGCAGUUGCGGAGACAUCUGUGAGCAG